UGGCAAUGAGGAAGCUACAUUCUUUAUUGAGUUUUAGUGAUUUGUUUAUACGCUAUUCUGAGCUAACU